UUAUUUCAAAAAGAUGGGGGCGGCUUUGCUUUUCCUGUUUUUGUGUAUGUUUGUAUGUAUGUGUGUUUGCUUUAUAAUUUAUUAAUUUCUGCCGUUUUCGCCUAUUUUUAAAAAUUUACUCUUGAUCUUGUCCUUGCCCUUUGUGGUGGGAGAACUCCCCCGUGUCUCCUCUCAACUUUCCUCACAAGGAACACUUCUAUUACUAGAUAGAUGUGAACGUGACCUUCCCACAUCUAGCAAUUCUGCAAUUCUGGUGGGGUGAUGAUCCAGUUCUGACACUAUCUACCUGGAGUUAGCAACAGAUCCCACAGGUUAGGGGCUCGGCCCCACAAAUCUACAAUCAAAAUUAGUCUCUCUUAAAAUUAUAAAGCUUCACCCUGUCUCCCUAAGGGCCGCUGCUAUGUGGUAUAGUAGGUGGGCUCUGUCUCCAAUCUCUCCCAAAGCAGAACAGUGAGAAAAAUAAGUGUCUUGGGAUCAUGUAGCCCUUACAAUGCUCAGGUCUUUCUAAGUUUGAAGAGGAAGCAAACACCCAGUGAGUAUGUGUUUUUUGAAGCUUCCCCUCCCCCCACGUUUCACUGAGCUUCCUGUGCUGUUAGCAACUUAAAAUUCUGCACGAUUUCCUGAGAUUCGAUUGUUUUGGGAAGACAUAUUCCUAAAAGAGAACUAUUGCUUGAGUGAAAAAUUUAGAAGAGCAAAGUAAGAAGACAAGCUUUUCAGAGCAACUGCCACCAUAUUUUUCAGCUCUGCAAUCCAGAAACACGAGAUUGUCAUAUAAGAGACAUAAGUAAGGGAUUUUCUCUGGAAACCAAUAACAAUAACAACAAAAAUCCCUUAAACUGCAAAAAAUUAAGUAGAUUAUAAUUAAGGAAAUAUUUUAAACAAAAUCCAGCUGUUAAUCUAACUGCUGAUGUUUUUAUUCUUUUUCUAAUAGCUUUGGAUUGAGAAGCCUCAAAGAAAAUGCCUCAGAGGAGAAUUAAACUUACUCGUGGUAUCAUUUUCACCUAUAUUCUCCUGAGCAGAGGUGGACCCUGGCUGGCUCACAAGGCAUUU
rnacentral:lncRNA from 1 species